rnacentral:rRNA from 1 species
ACGGGAGGCAGCAGUGGGGAAUAUUGGGCAGUGGGCGCAAGCCUGACCCAGCAAUGCCGCGUGAAGGAAGAAGGCUUUCGGGUUGUAAACUUCUUUUAAGAGGGACGAUAAUGACGGUACCACUUGAAUAAGCUCCGGCUAACUACGUGCCAGCAGCCGCGGUAAUACGUAGGGAGCAAGCGUUAUCCGGAUUUACUGGGUGUAAAGGGCGUGUAGGCGGUACAUCAAGUCAGAUGUGAAAGCCCGAAGCUCAACUUCGUGGCUGCAUUUGAAACUGAUUAUCUUGAGUGUUGGAGAGGUAAGUGGAACUCCUAGUGUAGCGGUGAAAUGCGUAGAUAUUAGGAAGAACACCAGUGGCGAAGGCGGUUAGCUGGACAAUAACUGACGCUGAGGCGCGAAAGCGUGGGUAGCAAACAGGAUUAGAUACCCUGGUA